rnacentral:rRNA from 1 species
UCCUACGGGGCGCAGCAGUGAGGAAUAUUGGUCAAUGGGCGAGAGCCUGAACCAGCCAAGUCGCGUGAGGGAGUACUGCCCUAUGGGUUGUAAACCUCUUUUGUCGGGGAGCAAAAGCCGGACGUGUCCGGCUGUGAGAGUACCCGAAGAAAAAGCAUCGGCUAACUCCGUGCCAGCAGCCGCGGUAAUACGGAGGAUGCGAGCGUUAUCCGGAUUUAUUGGGUUUAAAGGGUGCGUAGGCGGUCCGUUAAGUCAGCGGUAAAAUUGCGGGGCUCAACCCCGUCGCGCCGUUGAAACUGGCAGAC